UACGUAGGGGGCAAGCGUUGUCCGGAAUCAUUGGGCGUAAAGAGCGCGUAGGCGGCCCUGUAAGUCCGCUGUGAAAGUCAAGGGCUCAACCCUUGGAUGCCGGUGGAUACUGCAGGGCUAGAGUCCGGAAGAGGCGAGUGGAAUUCCUGGUGUAGCGGUGAAAUGCGCAGAUAUCAGGAGGAACACCGAUGGCGAAGGCAGGUCUCUGGGCCACUACUGACGCUGAGAAGCGAAAGCAUGGGGAGCGAACAGGAUAGAAACCCGGUAG
rnacentral:rRNA from 1 species